rnacentral:lncRNA from 1 species
GACGGGAGCUCUGCUCAGGCUUCAACAUGGCGGGCCGUUUCGGUUGACUUCGCCUGUGGAAACCGAAUUCCCCCUCCAUGGUUUCCCCAGGAUAUGAGUUGGGGGCCUCACCUCGCCUAUAAGGGUCAGGCGAGCUUUCUGGAUGCUCGAGGGACCUUUCGGCCUGCGCAGCCGGAGCAGCUUGUCCCAAUGCCCUGCCAUUUCUGUGAGGGCCCACGAGGCCUGGAGGAGCCUCGGAGCCCCCGCAGGCCCUCGCGUCACUGCCUCAAGAGGGUGCUCGGAGCCCUGCUCGGGAGCUGGUCCCCAACGAGGUGUGGAACCCCUUCUUGCUGGAACUCCACGGAGAGAGUGUCCUGCUAGGACCUGCUUCCAGAAGAGUUGAUCCCAGCUGUGAAAGUGCAUGAUGCCUUCAGCGAAGCAGGCAGGAAAGGCUCAAGUGAUCCUCCUGUAUCACCCUGGGUAUCAAGGCCAUUCAAUGGAAAAGAACAGUCUCUUCAGCAAGUGGUGCUGGAACAACUGGAUAUCCACAUACAAAUGAAUGAAGUUAGAUCUCUUCCUCACAUCAUACAGAAAAAUCAACCUCAAAUGGAAGAAAUAUCUAAAUGAAGCCGAACACUUGAUAAAAAGUUCAUCAGCGUAAAUAAGAAGAAUCCCCUCCAUUACAUACAAAAGAAAAAAUAACUGGAGAGAUCGUCUCUGCUCUAAG